rnacentral:lncRNA from 1 species
CCUUUCCCUUCUGAUUCUCCAUGAACAGAACCACUGCUGCAUCACUUUUCUUGUUUUGAUAAGUAGCUAUAUCCCUUGCCAUUUAUAAAGCACUGAAGAGACAUUUGGCAGUGUUACGUCAAGAGCAGGCAACUGUUUAGGAACUGUGCAACCCCAGCAAGUAAGUUGUGUGUCUGUGGAGGGAAUCAGGGGCAGUAUCUUUGCAAUGGCAACCAUUUUGAGCUUCAGUUCAGUUUAAAAACAUCAAUAAGAAGCUUUUUAAAAAGGACAGAAGCAACAAAUGGAGAGACAUUGAGGAAAGGUCAGGGAUGCAGAAGGAGGCAGUGCCUGCUUUGUGGAGGGAGCAAAGAGACAGUGCAGAAAGUGUUACCACUGCCACCACCAGACAAGGAUCAAUAUGGCCAGUACAGUCACAGUGAAGGAAAUAUAAUUCAGUAUGGAGAAGAUUUCCAUUCUAUGCACAGAGUGUGUUCUGCUAAAAAGGAAGAAACAAAGCCAUCUUAUUUAUUAAAGGUGUGACACAUACAUAAAGAUUGGGACUUUGCUCUUUCUGCUCUCCCUGAAGACAUGCAGUGCACUUUUAAAAAACCUCAACAGUGGCUGAGUCUACCGUGUUUCUUCCAUUUAAGUAACAGUGGCUUAAGCUGUCACAGAGACAGAGGUGAUAGCAGUACUCUGUUGUUCUUUCCCAACAGAAGAUAAGUUUGCAAAUCACCCUGCUAGAUGAGAGAACAGUGGAAAGCUCAUAGAAAGAGAGCAAUAUAUAUAAGUACAUGUCAGAGCAAUUACAACUGAAGCUUUGCUUCCUCUGUCAGGUUCUUUUCUUCAUUUGGAGAGCGGGCAGUUGCAGGGCAAAGUCAGCAAUAUUGCUGCUCUGGGAUUCAUAGAGAAAACCCCUGUGGAACUCUCAUUCCGUGCUUGAUUGAAGAACAUGGUCACACUUUCAGGGUGACCAGUUUUACAAACAAAAAUGAAAGAAGUGAUUCUACACCCUGGGCCAUAUGAUAAGUGGAAAACCUUGCAAUAAGUCAUUUGAUUCAAGACAGGAACCGGGUCACAGUCUCUGUCUUUGGUUGUCUUCAUGUGAUUACUCGAAUAUGAUCUAAGUGAGAGACAAAGAAAAUAUUUUGCCCCAUCAAAAACUGGAGCCAAUAUAUCUUUCAAAAAGGACUUGAGGAGCAUGCAUAAAAUCCUCUCUGCUGUAGGUUUGCCUCAUGAGCAAUCAUGACAUUUAUCCCCUGUUUUACACUAGUUACUCAUCAUCUUCCUGCAUACACUGAGAUAGCGUAUUUCUGCAGCAGCACCCUUAUCUAGCCAAGAGCAUGACUUAUACAAAGGAGAAGAGAAACACAAUAAAAAAUAAAAUGAAGAUUCA